rnacentral:rRNA from 1 species
AUUGAACGCUCGCGGCAGGCCUAACACAUGCAAGUCGAACGAGUGGCGGACGGGUGAGUAAUGUCUGGGAAACUGCCCGAUGGAGGGGGAUAACUACUGGAAACGGUAGCUAAUACCGCAUACCAUCGGAUGUGCCCAUAUGGGAUUAGCUAGUAGGUGGGGUAAAAGCUCACCGAGGCGACGAUCCCUAGCUGGUCUGACAGGAUGACCAGCCACACUGGAACUGAGACACGGUCCAGAGUCCUACGGGAGGCGACGAUGGGGAAGAAAGCACAAUGGGCGCAAGCCUGAUGCAGACAAAGCGCGUGUAUGAAGGAGGCCUUCGAGUUUUAAAGUACUUUCAGCGGGGAGGCGUUACUCGCAGAAGAAGCACCGGCUAACGCCGUGCCAGCAGCCGCGGUAAUAC